rnacentral:tRNA from 1 species
UCCCUGGUGGUCCAAUGGUUAAGAAUCUUCCCUCCAAGGCAGAGGACCCAGGUUCAAUCCCUGGUUGGGGAA